rnacentral:siRNA from 1 species
CAUACUCGUCAGGAAACUCCCCAC